rnacentral:rRNA from 1 species
UUGAACGCUGGCGGCAUGCUUUGCACAUGCAAGUCGAACGGCAGCGCGGGGCAACCUGGCGGCGAGUGGCGAGCGGGUGAGUAAUACAUCGGAACGUACCCAGAAGUGGGGGAUAACGUAGCGAAAGUUACGCUAAUACCGCAUACGUUCUACGGAAGAAAGUGGGGGACCGCAAGGCCUCAUGCUUUUGGAGCGGCCGAUGUCUGAUUAGCUAGUUGGUGAGGUAAAGGCUCACCAAGGCGACGAUCAGUAGCUGGUCUGAGAGGACGACCAGCCACACUGGGACUGAGACACGGCCCAGACUCCUACGGGAGGCAGCAGUGGGGAAUUUUGGACAAUGGGCGCAAGCCUGAUCCAGCAAUGCCGCGUGAGUGAAGAAGGCCUUCGGGUGUAAAGCUCUUUUGUCAGGGAAGAAAACGGCUGGGGCUAAUAUCUCCGACUAAUGACGGUACCUGAAGAAUAAGCACCGGCUAACUACGUGCCAGCAGCCGCGGGGUAAUACGUAGGGUGCAAGCGUUAAUCGGAAUUACUGGGCGUAAAGCGUGCGCAGGCGGUUUUGUAAGUCUGACGUGAAAUCCCCGGGCUCAACCUGGGAAUUGCGUUGGAGACUGCAAGGCUGGAGUCUGGCAGAGGGGGGUAGAAUUCCACGUGUAGCAGUGAAAUGCGUAGAGAUGUGGAGGAACACCGAUGGCGAAGGCAGCCCCCUGGGUCAAGACUGACGCUCAUGCACGAAAGCGUGGGGAGCAAACAGGAUUAGAUACCCUGGUAGUCCACGCCCUAAACGAUGUCUACUAGUUGUCGGGUCUUAAUUGACUUGGUAACGCAGCUAACGCGUGAAGUAGACCGCCUGGGGAGUACGGUCGCAAGAUUAAAACUCAAAGGAAUUGACGGGGACCCGCACAAGCGGUGGAUGAUGUGGAUUAAUUCGAUGCAACGCGAAAAACCUUACCUACCCUUGACAUGUCAGGAACCUCCGAGAGAUUGGAGGGUGCCCGAAAGGGAGCCUGAACACAGGUGCUGCAUGGCUGUCGUCAGCUCGUGUCGUGAGAUGUUGGGUUAAGUCCCGCAACGAGCGCAACCCUUGUCAUUAGUUGCUACGAAAGGGCACUCUAAUGAGACUGCCGGUGACAAACCGGAGGAAGGUGGGGAUGACGUCAAGUCCUCAUGGCCCUUAUGGGUAGGGCUUCACACGUCAUACAAUGGUACAUACAGAGGGCCGCCAACCGCGAGGGGAGCUAAUCCCAGAAAGUGUAUCGUAGUCCGGAUCGCAGUCUGCAACUCGAUUGCGUGAAGUUGGAAUCGCUAGUAAUCGCGGAUCAGCAUGCCGCGGUGAAUACGUUCCGGGUCUUGUACACACCGCCCGUCACACCAUGGGAGCGGGUUUUACCAGAAGUAGGUAGCUUAACCGCAAGGAGGGCGCUUACCACGGUAGGAUUCGUGACUGGGGUG